GAAAUCAACCGAGAUUCCCCCAGUAGCGGCGAGCGAACGGGGAGGAGCCCAGAGCCUGAAUCAGCAUGUGUGUUAGUGGAAGCGUCUGGAAAGGCGCGCGAUACAGGGUGACAGCCCCGUACACAAAAGCGCAUGUGCUGUGAGCUCGAUGAGUAGGGCGGGACACGUGGUAUCCUGUCUGAAUAUGGGGGGACCAUCCUCCAAGGCUAAAUACUCCUGACUGACCGAUAGUGAACCAGUACCGUGAGGGAAAGGCGAAAAGAACCCCGGCGAGGGGAGUGAAAAAGAACCUGAAACCGUGUACGUACAAGCAGUGGGAGCACCCUUUGGGGUGUGACUGCGUACCUUUUGUAUAAUGGGUCAGCGACUUAUAUUCUGUAGCAAGGUUAACCGUAUAGGGGAGCCGGAGGGAAACCGAGUCUUAACCGGGCGUUAAGUUGCAGGGUAUAGACCCGAAACCCGGUGAUCUAGCCAUGGGCAGGUUGAAGGUUGGGUAACACUAACUGGAGGACCGAACCGACUAAUGUUGAAAAAUUAGCGGAUGACCUGUGGCUGGGGGUGAAAGGCCAAUCAAACCGGGAGAUAGCUGGUUCUCCCCGAAAGCUAUUUAGGUAGCGCCUCGUGAAUUCAUCUCCGGGGGUAGAGCACUGUUUCGGCUAGGGGGCCAUCCCGGCUUACCAACCCGAUGCAAACUGCGAAUACCGGAGAAUGUUAUCACGGGAGACACACGGCGGGUGCUAACGUCCGUCGUGAAGAGGGAAACAACCCAGACCGCCAGCUAAGGUCCCAAAGUCAUGGUUAAGUGGGAAACGAUGUGGGAAGGCCCAGACAGCCAGGAUGUUGGCUUAGAAGCAGCCAUCAUUUAAAGAAAGCGUAAUAGCUCACUGGUCGAGUCGGCCUGCGCGGAAGAUGUAACGGGGCUAAACCAUGCACCGAAGCUGCGGCAGCGACACUCAGGUGUUGUUGGGUAGGGGAGCGUUCUGUAAGCCUGCGAAGGUGUGUCGUGAGGCAUGCUGGAGGUAUCAGAAGUGCGAAUGCUGACAUAAGUAACGAUAAAGCGGGUGAAAAGCCCGCUCGCCGGAAGACCAAGGGUUCCUGUCCAACGUUAAUCGGGGCAGGGUGAGUCGACCCCUAAGGCGAGGCCGAAAGGCGUAGUCGAUGGGAAACGGGUUAAUAUUCCCGUACUUGGUGUUACUGCGAAGGGGGGACGGAGAAGGCUAUGUUGGCCGGGCGACGGUUGUCCCGGUUUAAGCGUGUAGGUGUGUGUUCCAGGUAAAUCCGGUUCACUUUAACACUGAGGCGUGACGACGAGGCACUACGGUGCUGAAGCAACAAAUGCCCUGCUUCCAGGAAAAGCCUCUAAGCAU
rnacentral:rRNA from 1 species